CCUACGGGAGGCUGCAGUGAGGAAUAUUGGUCAAUGGGCGCAAGCCUGAACCAGCCAAGUCGCGUGAGGGAUGACGGUCCUAUGGAUUGUAAACCUCUUUUGUCGGGGAGCAAGGCCCGCCACGUGUGGCGGGAAGGAGAGUACCCGAAGAAAAAGCAUCGGCUAACUCCGUGCCAGCAGCCGCGGUAAUACGGAGGAUGCGAGCGUUAUCCGGAUUUAUUGGGUUUAAAGGGUGCGUAGGCGGAAGGUUAAGUCAGCGGUAAAAUGUCGGUGCUCAACACCGGCCUGCCGUUGAAACUGGUCUUCUUGAGUGAGCGAGAAGUAUGCGGAAGGCGUGGUGUAGCGGUGAAAUGCAUAGAUAUCACGCAGAACUCCGAUUGCGAAGGCAGCAUACCGGCGCUCAACUGACGCUGAGGCACGAAAGCGUGGGGAUCGAACAGGAUUAGAUACCCGAGUAGUC
rnacentral:rRNA from 1 species